rnacentral:rRNA from 1 species
AAAUUUUAAUUAAUUUUCGCUGCCCGCUAUACAUACAUAAUGAAAAUUUAUAAUUUAUAAAUUUAUAUAUUUAUAAAUUAAAAUUUAGGUUAAAGUAAAUUUAUAAUUUUGAAUUUUAGGUAUAUAUUUAUUUAAAUUACAUAAAGUAAAAAUUAGAAAAUAAAAUUUAUAUAAUACUAAACUUAAUUUAAUUAUUAUAUUAUAAAUAAUUAUAAAAUGAUUUUAGUUAAUUUGUUGUUAUAUAUUAAAAUAAAUUAUUUUCAUAUAAUAUUACACAUAAUAGUUAAUUAUUUGUUUUAGGAGAUUAAAAUUUAUUAUGGUGGUUUAAUAAAUUAAAAGUUUUUUUUAAAUUAUAAUGAAUAAUUUUAUAAUAAUUUGAUUAUAUUAU